rnacentral:rRNA from 1 species
UAGGGAAUCUUCCGCAAUGGGCGAAAGCCUGACGGAGCAACGCCGCGUGAGUGAUGAAGGUCUUCGGAUCGUAAACCUCUGUUAUUAGGGAAGAACAAAUGUGUAAGUAACUAUGCACGUCUUGACGGUACCUAAUCAGAAAGCCACGGCUAACUACGUGCCAGCAGCCGCGGUAAUACGUAGGUGGCAAGCGUUAUCCGGAAUUAUUGGGCGUAAAGCGCGCGUAGGCGGUUUUUUAAGUCUGAUGUGAAAGCCCACGGCUCAACCGUGGAAGGUCAUUGGAAACUGGAAAACUUGAGUGGAGAAGAGGAAAGUGGAAUUCCAUGUGUGGCGGUGAAAUGCGCAGAGGUAUGGAGGAACACCAGUGGCGAAGGCGACUUUCUGGUCUGUAACUGACGCUGAUGUGCGAAAGCGUGGGGAUCAAACAGG